UACGGGGGGGGCAAGCGUUGUUCGGAAUUACUGGGCGUAAAGGGCUCGUAGGCGGCCAACUAAGUCGGACGUGAAAUCCCUCGGCUUAACCGGGGAACUGCAUCUGAUACUGGAUGGCUUGAGUUCGGGAGAGGGAUGCGGAAUUCCAGGUGUAGCGGUGAAAUGCGUAGAUAUCUGGAGGAACACCGGUGGCGAAGGCGGCAUCCUGGACCGACACUGACGCUGAGGCGCGAAAGCGUGGGGAGCAAACAGG
rnacentral:rRNA from 1 species